AACGCUGGCGGCGUGCCUAACACAUGCAAGUCGUACGAGGAAUCCUGGGCAACCGGGAGAGUAAAGUGGCGCACGGGUGAGUAACGCGUGGGUAACCUACCCUUGAAUUGGGGAUAACUCUUCGAAAGGGGAGUUAAUACCGAAUAAUAUUUCAAUUCCCAAGGGAGUUGAAAUCGAAGAUGGCCUCUGCAUGCAAGCUAUCGUUUAAGGAUGGGCCCGCGUACCAUUAGCUAGUUGGCAGGGUAAUGGCCUACCAAGGCAACGAUGGUUAGCUGGUCUGAGAGGAUGGCCAGCCACACUGGAACUGAGACACGGUCCAGACUCCUACGGGAGGCAGCAGUGGGGAAUCUUGCGCAAUGGGGGAAACCCUGACGCAGCAACGCCGCGUGGGUGAUGAAGGCCUUCGGGUCGUAAAGCCCUGUCAGGUGGGAAGAAACUUGUGGAUGCUAAUAUCAUCCACACUUGACGGUACCACCGGAGGAAGCACCGGCUAACUCCGUGCCAGCAGCCGCGGUAAUACGGAGGGUGCAAGCGUUGUUCGGAAUUAUUGGGC
rnacentral:rRNA from 1 species